rnacentral:rRNA from 1 species
UACGUAGGGUGCAAGCGUUGUCCGGAAUUAUUGGGCGUAAAGAGCUCGUAGGCGGCCUGUUGCGUCCGCUGUGAAAUCCCAGGGCUCAACCCUGGGCGUGCAGUGGAUACGGGCAGACUAGAGUGUGGUAGGGGAGACUGGAAUUCCUGGUGUAGCGGUGAAAUGCGCAGAUAUCAGGAGGAACACCGAUGGCGAAGGCAGGUCUCUGGGCCAUAACUGACGCUGAGAAGCGAAAGCAUGGGGAGCGAACAGG